rnacentral:other from 1 species
AGAGUCCUGAAAUGUACGUUGUGUUACCUGAAGUUUUGACCGAACAUUAUUUAUUCGGGAGUCCAGAGUUUUUUGAUUGCGUAAAUGCCUCACCCUUAUACGGGUAAGGGGACUUACAAUACCGAGAACAGGACACCCCCCUGCUCAAGUAGCGGGAUCAAAACUAAGGAUCAAGAAGCAACGGCACCAUUGGGACUCUU